rnacentral:rRNA from 1 species
UAGGGAAUCUUCCACAAUGGACGCAAGUCUGAUGGAGCAACGCCGCGUGAGUGAAGAAGGCUUUCGGGUCGUAAAACUCUGUUGUUGGAGAAGAAUGGUCGGCAGAGUAACUGUUGCCGGCGUGACGGUAUCCAACCAGAAAGCCACGGCUAACUACGUGCCAGCAGCCGCGGUAAUACGUAGGUGGCAAGCGUUAUCCGGAUUUAUUGGGCGUAAAGCGAGCGCAGGCGGUUUUUUAAGUCUGAUGUGAAAGCCCUCGGCUUAACCGAGGAAGCGCAUCGGAAACUGGGAAACUUGAGUGCAGAAGAGGACAGUGGAACUCCAUGUGUAGCGGUGAAAUGCGUAGAUAUAUGGAAGAACACCAGUGGCGAAGGCGGCUGUCUGGUCUGUAACUGACGCUGAGGCUCGAAAGCAUGGGUAGCGAACAGGAUUAGAUACCCUGGUAGUCCAUGCCGUAAACGAUGAAUGCUAGGUGUUGGAGGGUUUCC